AUUGAACGCUGGCGGCAGGCCUAACACAUGCAAGUCGAGCGGAUGAAGGGAGCUUGCUCCUGGAUUCAGCGGCGGACGGGUGAGUAAUGCCUAGGAAUCUGCCUGGUAGUGGGGGAUAACGUCCGGAAACGGGCGCUAAUACAGCAUACGUCCUGAGGGAGAAAGUGGGGGAUCUUCGGACCUCACGCUAUCAGAUGAGCCUAGGUCGGAUUAGCUAGUUGGUGGGGUAAAGGCCUACCAAGGCGACGAUCCGUAACUGGUCUGAGAGGAUGAUCAGUCACACUGGAACUGAGACACGGUCCAGACUCCUACGGGAGGCAGCAGUAGGGAAUAUUGGACAAUGGGCGAAAGCCUGAUCCAGCCAUGCCGCGUGUGUGAAGAAGGUCUUCGGAUUGUAAAGCACUGUAAGUUGGGAAGAAGAGCAGUGAGUUAAUACCUUGCUGUUUUGACGUUACCAACAGAAUAAGCACCGGCUAACUUCGUG
rnacentral:rRNA from 1 species